GCACUCACUUUGGCAGCACAUGCACUGGACCUGGAACAUUACAGAGAUUUAGCUUGGCCCUUGUGUAAAAAUGACAUGAAAAUUUGACACUACUGCCAAGCUUAA
rnacentral:snRNA from 14 species